rnacentral:rRNA from 1 species
UGCGGUGAACAAGAUUCUCCGUUGGGGAAGCAGCGGAGGGAUCAUUACCCCAGCGAAAAAACUCCCAAACCAUUGUGAACCUACCACUGUUGCUUCGGCGGCCUCGCCCCGGGCGCGUUCGCGCGGCCCGGACCCAGGCGUCCGCCGGAGGCUCCAAACUCUUGUCUUUUAGUGUAUUUCUGAGUGGCAUAAGCAAAUAAAUCAAAACUUUCAGCAACGGAUCUCUUGGUUCUGGCAUCGAUGAAGAACGCAGCAAAAUGCGAUAAGUAAUGUGAAUUGCAGAAUUCAGUGAAUCAUCGAAUCUUUGAACGCACAUUGCGCCCGCCAGUAUUCUGGCGGGCAUGCCUGUCUGAGCGUCAUUUCAACCCUCAGGACCCGUUCGCGGGACCUGGCGUUGGGGAUCAGCCUGCCCCUGGCGGCGGCUGGCCCUGAAAUCCAGUGGCGGUUCCCUCGCGAACUCCUCCGUGCAGUAAUUAAACCUCUCGCGGCAGGAUAGCGGUUGAACCACGCCGUUAAACCCCCCACUUCUCAAGGUUGACCUCAGAUCAGGUAGGAAUACCCGCUGAACUUAAGCAUAUCAAUAA